CCCUCGUCUCGAUCUCCUGCACGGCACGAGUGCAAGCUCCCGUCCUCCUCAGUCCCCACACGAAACAAAUCUCCCGCACGAGAAAAAUUAUUCCGUAGCAACGCACAGACACUCUGCUAGUCUUUGUAAUUUUGCAGAUACGAAGGAACACGUGGCCUUCCUAAUAAUUUUGAUUCUACCUAUUUCUUUGCAUUUGGCUAUGGUACUGGAACUCUUCUCCAGUUUGCCAGUUUGGGAAGACAUGAUACUGGAAAUAAGGGUUCAAGGCUGUUAGAGAGUAACUUGAUCAACAACGCAUCCAUGGUUUUCGGUCUUUGUUUGAGGGUACUUCCAAAUGGCUUUUCUUCUUUACCUAUUUUUUCACAGCACAUGACUUCAUAUGGAUUUCAGGGUACCAGAGAAGAGCUCAAUUACCUUUUCUUUUUGCAUUUUCCUAUCAGCAAGUUAAGCCUGCCAGCUAAUCAUAGCUUUCGUUUCAGUAACUGCAGUCUUUGUUAGAUCAUCAGAAAAAUCAGAAGAAAACCUUGGAAAAAUAUUUCAAGAACUCACUGCUAUAUCUACCGAGUGCUAACAAUAUUCUCUUUUGAAAUAAGCAAAGUAUGCAGGUUGAAUAUUCUUUUUUUGGUUCUUUUGCCGACCUACUGCAAACAAUGCCCGUCACUUUGUUUUCUUAAUAAAGGUCCUAAUGCAGGUUUGAUGGAGAUAAUUUUUAUUUACAUAUAUAGGUCCUAUAAUGGGCAGAUAACUGAAAUCAGCUUUCUUCAUUAAUCUUUCUAUGAUUCUAUAUGAUCCUUUUUUGCCUGCAGCUCCUGUGGUCAUUCAGCUUUUCUCCUAACUGGCAUAAUAUGGUGAGAACUGAGAAGAUGACUUCUUUCAUUCGCGCUGCCCAGUCCUAGUCCUGGAGCAUCGAAUAACCUGGGGGCAUGCCUCGAUUGCUUCCAUGGAGAUGGUGAGUUGUUCAGUCUCCCGAGAUUGGAGAAAAGCUGUGGAUUACCAAUGUUCUGAGAUUGAUUUUUCAUAAAAAAAGUAUGCACUGUCAGUAAUCAAAAUUUGUUGUCCAUA